GGGAAAUAAAUGGGAAAUAAAUGGGGGAAAAGGGAAAUGGGGGGGAAAUAGUUAAAAAGGGAGGAGGAAAUGGGAGGAAAAGGGGGGGAAAUAGGUUAAAAAGGAGGGGAAAUGGGGGUAAAUAUUUAAAAGGGGGGGGAAAUGCUUCAGAAAGGGGAGGGAAGGGGGGGCAAAAGGGGGAAAAUAAUUAAAAUGGGGGGGAAUGGGGGGUAAUUAAUGCUAAUUAAUGCCCCCCGCCCCCAUUCUUUGGUCGUUGAUGGGGUGAAAGAGGCCGAAAUGGGAACAUGAAGGGGGGAAUGGGGGGAAGGGUCGGAUAAAAUGGGGUCCUGUGGGGAAAUUGGGGGGUUUUAGGGGGGGGGAAGGGGGGAAAAUAGUUAAAGGAGGGGGAAAGGGGGGUAAUUAAUGCUAAUUAAUGCCCUCCGCCCCCAUUCUUUGGUCGUUGAUGGGGUGGCUGAGGCCGAAAUGGGAACGCGAAGGGGGGGAUGGAGGGAAGGGUCGGAUAAAAUGGGGUCCUGUGGGGAAAUUGGGGGGUUUUAGGGGGGGAAUGGGGGGAAAAUAGUUAAAGGAGGGGGAAAGGGGGGGUAAUUAAUGCUAAUUAACCGCUCCCCUCUCCAUUCUUUGGUCGUUGAUGGGGUGGAUGAGGCCGAAAUGGGAACGCAAAGGGGGGAAUGGGGGGAAGGGUCAGAUAAAUGGGGUCCUGUGGGGAAAUUGGGGGGUUUUAGGGGGGGGAAGGGGGGAAAAUAGUUAAAGGAGGGGGAAAGGGGGGUAAUUAAUGCUAAUUAAUGCCCCCCGCCCCCAUUCUUUGGUCGUUGAUGGGGUGGCUGAGGCCGAAAUGGGAACGCGAAGGGGGGAAUGGGGGGAAGGGUCAGAUAUAUGGGGUCCUGUGGGGAAAUUGGGGGGUUUUAGGGGGGGGAAGGGGGGAAAAUAGUUAAAGGAGGGGGAAAGGGGGGUAAUUAAUGCUAAUUAAUGCCUCCCGCCCCCAUUCUUUGGUCGUUGAUGGGGUGGCUGAGGCCGAAAUGGGAACGCGAAGGGGGGAAUGGGGGGAAGGGUCGGAUAUAUGGGGUCCAAUGGGGAAAUUGGGGGUUUUAGGGGGGGUUUUGGGGUUGGGGGGGUCCCGUAAGCUUUUCAGCUCUCUUUACUUUCGUGGGUCUUCCCCUGUUUGGGUUUCCCUUUGGAGCCCUCCCCCCCCCACGUCGUCGUCGCUGUGCUGGUGAUCAUUUCCGACCUGUGGCCUUCGAUUCAUUCUCGUUUCCCCCCCCCCCAACCUUCUCCCCCUUUCCUUCUCCCCCCUCUCCCCUUUUCAUUUUCGGCGAUGCAAAACGGGAAGUGGUGGGGAGGGGGGGGGGGGGGGGGGGGGGGAAGAAAGGAGGUCAAAAGACAAAAAAAAAAAGAGAAAAUAACGGAGAUUUCUCAUGUAUCAGUGCCUGGCUUUUGGUUUUGGUUUUUGUUUUUUUCUUCUUUUUUCUCUCUUUUUCGGUUCCGAAGCUUCGUUUUGUCUUAGUGCUCUUUUUUGCUAUGGGGUAGAGUGUAGUGCGGCCGUGGUAGGAGGAGGGGGGGUG
ensembl:lncRNA